UUUAUCCGUUUAAUUUCCAAAUUAAAUGCCUACCUGGACCCAUUUAACUAAAAAAUGUGUUAAUUAGGAUUUCAUAUAUCUUCUGUCUAGCCUAACGGGUAUACUUUUAAAACUAACUGAAAAAGAAACCGGUCACAUGGGUGAUCGGGUCAAAAGUUAUCGAAGUUCUUUUCGAAGGUAUAAAACCUCCAGAAUUGCUUUUGUUAUCAAAAGUAUAUCACUAAGUUUAUCAAUCAAUAUACUUUUAUAAUCUUAUCUAUUCAUCAUUUAUUUAUAAAACAAUAAAAAAUGAACCACCCAACUCGACCCAUUUGUAUCCGUACUAAAAGUUACCCACUUAAUCCAUUACGCAACAAACCAGACCCGUUCAACUACCUACUUUACGUUUUACUACCCACUUUCUAGAUAACACAUUAUACGAAUUGACCCAUUUUGAGUAAAAAUUUACCUACAGGAGGCAGAGGAGCACCAAUAGCUGCAAAACCAAAAAAAUAUAAACAAAUGAGAUCAUAAGAAGUGAAUUAGUCCGUAAGUAGCUAGUGAGUAGCUAUAUAAAUAAGUAGACCUAUGUACCUAAUUGAGUGAUAACUACUUAUGUGCCCACAUAAUACAAUAGCAGUUGAUGAAACUGCACCAAAUACAACAGGAGCACACUAACAUUUAUCAAUUCCUAACUUAAAUAACCAAUUUGGAUAAAAAAAAAUCUUAUAUUACUUGACCGAUAAACCACAUAACAUUAAAAAUGUCAUUGAAGAAUUUAAAGAAUGGAUCUAAGAAUACGAACCUCAUAGCUCUUUUUUUCUGCUAACGCUCGAUUUGUCUUCAACAGAGACAAAGGCGUGCUUGUGGAGCUAACGACGUACUUUAGGUAAUAAAGAUUCGUAUACAAGUGGGUACAUACUACUUCCGUCAAUAUAACAUGGCAUCACGAAUGCCCAGUUCUUGAAUUUCUUGGAAAAUAAUUGCCAACUUAGAAACAUAUUAAUUAGCGGGUUUACCACGUCAUACAAUGAGCGAGAAAGUGAAAAUUAAGUGGUCUCAUUGAUUGACACUUG
rnacentral:lncRNA from 1 species